rnacentral:sRNA from 1 species
AAAUUUGAGAUAGGUUCGAAGAUGAUUAUCUUUGGAACUUGGUUUUCUUGAUGUAUAUGAUUAAAUUUGGUGCAUAUGUAAUUAAGUGUGCACUGGACCAAUAAAAAACAUUGAAACCUUAUAUAAUAUAUCUUCUUAUGACACAUUAUUAUUUAAAUAAACAAACAAACAAAACUUUAAAAGCGUUUGCGUUCAGCGUUCAGCGUUCAGCGUUUGCGUUCGACGUUUAGAGUUGGCACAAAAUCCACCAAAUUAAAACCAUUCAGGCGGAGGAUUCAAUAUAUCUCACAGUUUCACUCUCAACAUUUCAAUAUCUCUCUCUCUCUCUGUGAAGAACAAAUACAGCGUUUCUUCUGCGAUUAGAUCUAUUUCGAUACUCACGAGGAUUGCCUCCUGAGGAGACUACAUAUACUAAACAAAAUACAAGCUGAGGAGACUAAAUAUAUUUAGUUAAUACCAAUAAUAUAUGAUAUACAACUACAUAUUUACAAACAAAGAAAAUAUAGUAGAUUUGUAAUAUAUACAUAAUUGAGAUUUGAUGAUUGAUUAAACCAAGAAUACCGUGCGUAGCACGGGUACUGACAUAGUAUGUGUAUUAUUCUGAACUUCAUAAG